AUGCAACUCUUUAGCUGUACAAUCCUUAAAUAUUUCCUGAAAGGCAGCAGAGUUGUUUAUGUGCAUUGGCUCCUGUGCCAAGCUGCCUUGGUCCAAAUGUUAACCCCAUCACUUUCUAGUUGCAAAGAACAUUCAGGUUUUCUGAACUCUAAUUUCUCUUUGUACAGAAAACAAUCUUCCUUCCAAGAAAUUCUUGAAUUAAUUAACUUAUUUUAAACACAGAAUGAUAGAGAAAGGAACACACACACACAAACAUACACACACACACAAAGAGAGAGAGAGAGAGAGAGAGAGAGAGAGAGAGAGAGAGAAGCAUCUUCCAUUUACUAUUUCAGGCCCCCAGUGACUGCAACAGUUAGGUAUGAGUUAAGGCGGAACCCAGGAACUCCAUCUAGGCCUUCCAUAUAGGUAGUAGGGGUUCAAAUACUUGGGCCAUUAUCUGCUGCAUUUACAGCUACAUUCUGAGGGAGCUGGAUCAGAAGCAGAGUACCUGGGACUAGAACUGGCACUUCCAUAUGGGAUGCCAACAUUAUAAGUAGGGACUUUACCUGCUGCACCAAAAUGGUAGCCCUUCAAGAAGUUACUUAGCCUAUAUAAGUGCUUCAUGUAGUUGGCAUACAGCAAGUACCAUAAGUUUUGCAGUUAUUAUAAUUUGAAGUAAAGAAUAAUUACUUACCCUCCAGAGUUUAUAAUUAUGAAAAAUACUAUCAGUGAAAUAUGAGGAGAUACCUGCAAUCACUGUGUUCACAUAAUACUUGGUAAAAAUGCAAGUUCCUAAUGUUGGAACUUUUCUUGCUUUUAUACUCACAUUUUCCUUCUGUAUAUUAUAUAAGAUUUUCCCAUGAAGAUGCAGUGCUAAUGACCUGGUCUCACCACUGUAGCAAUUAAAUCAUAUAACCAGAAAGCUAAUUUCAUAGCACUUUGAGAAGGUCAUUAAUUGUUGAUGUAUAUAUUUCAGAGGGAGCCAAACACUGGGCAAAGGGCAUGUGCUGAUAGUCAUGCAACAGGCAGGACUCAAAGUGAAAGUUAAAACCAAGCUUCCUCAGGAUGAAGAUAACAAUCAGAAAACUGACCCUCUAAUGUGGAGAGAAGAAAAGACCAUGUCUCUCUUAUCCUCUUCUACUAAGGAUAGAGCAGUAACAAUCUAUGUUGGAGGUUGUAGGGCACCAUGACAGCAAUUAAUUUUCUAAUAAUAUCAAAAAGUUUAGGUAGAAAA
rnacentral:lncRNA from 1 species